rnacentral:rRNA from 1 species
CGUAGGGGGCAAGCGUUAUCCGGAUUUUACUGGGGUGUAAAGGGGAGCGUAGACGGCAUGGCAAGUCUGAAGUGAAAAACCCCAGGGGCUCAACCCUGGGGACUGCUUUGGAAACUGUCAAGCUAGAAUGCAGGAGAGGUAAGUGGAAUUCCUAGUGUAGCGGUGAAAUGCGUAGAUAUUAGGAGGAACACCAGUGGCGAAGGCGGCUUACUGGACUGUAACUGACGUUGAGGCUCGAAAGCGUGGGGAGCAAACAGGAUU